CCGCAGAGUGGGAUCAGCAAUGCCACCGUCAGAGGAUGGACAGCUCGGGGUGCGGAGGCUGCUUCUCUCGGUACCGUCGGGGGGGAACUCCGCACGUCCAUUCAACGGAGUUAACACGAGGAAAAAAAAGCCUUUUUCCACCGCUCCGAGAAUUUCGCCCCCGUUGGACGGAGAGGAGUUGCGGGACAUUGCUGGAGAGUGGGGGUUCCUAAAGGGAAUUAAUUGAACGGCAGCCAGACUCUCUCCGCCCGCUUCUCUUGCCCGGCUGAGCCCCACGCAGCUCCCCGUGCCCC